CGUCCUAUGUCUGGUGCCCGCUCUGCUCUCAGCCCUCUGCUGGACGCACAGUAGAUGGAUGGAGCUCUCUCUUUCUCUGUAUACGUGAUAAGAAGCACAUAAAAAACGGCGACAUCUGUCAGAUUUUGUGAUGCUACAGCUUUAACUAUGGACAACAUAUAGUCAGAUGGCGUGAAUGGACGUGCUGUCAUCAACUGCUGGUUAAAAGUAAGCCUAUGCACCAUUUUGUUAUGGCAGAUGUCGCCCAGCACUCUGGAUUAAGUGACUGCUGUUGUUCCUCCACUCACUGAAAGGGACACCGGAUAUCCGGACCAUGGGUUGUAACGGGAAGCCAGACCGCCUGAGCUACGGUAAAUGGACCAGAACAUGAUCUGUCUUGAAGUGCACCAAGAUUUCAACAUCUUUGUUCACUUCUGCUAUUUUGCUGUAGAUGACUGUGAAAACACAAAACUGACGUGCAGAAGUGACUUGCGGUCACUACACAGCAAGUAUCACUGCCCAUAUCUUGUGUAACACCAGGCCAUCCUUGCAAAAUGAACACUGGCUUAAUUAUUAGAGCAACAUUCAUGUGUGAGAAGAUAUUUCAAUACACUCGCUGUGUGCGAAGGUUUAAUUGAUGCUUUACACAGACAGGUGUUUCCUUACUGUAUACAAAACACUGUAAUGAUGUAUCAUUAAUAAAUCAAUUUAUACAUUAAUAUGUAAA